UACGGAGGGUGCGAGCGUUGUCCGGAAUCAUUGGGCGUAAAGGGCGCGUAGGUGGCCCAGUCAGCGUGCGGUGAAAGCUCGGGGCUCAACCCCGAGUCGGCCGUGCGAACUGCUGGGCUCGAGCACUGUAGAGGCAGGCGGAAUUCCGGGUGUAGCGGUGGAAUGCGUAGAGAUCCGGAAGAACACCGGUGGCGAAGGCGGCCUGCUGGGCAGUAGCUGACACUGAGGCGCGACAGCGUGGAGAGCAAACAGG
rnacentral:rRNA from 1 species